AAGGGAUUUCCCAAAGAUAAAUUGCAGUCUGUCCCCCUAGAAAGCAAGAACAAGCAAACAAACAAAAAACACACCAUCACCAAAAGCUGCUGGCAGCCCUCCCAAUUACAUGCUCCAAGUUAAAGCAAAAUAAAGACCAAUCCUCCCUGGACACCUCCUUAAGAAAGCUGGGUAUUAGGCUGGUGAUGAGGGGCCAGUGCAGAAUUUUCAGUACAGUGGGUCUUGGUUCAGCUUGUGUUUGUGAAGAUCUCUCCAGCAGAGUGCAGAAGACAGAGGGGAGAGCUGUGGAGACAGAGUUCCAAGCACACGGCCAUUGCUGGGGCCAGACAGGAAAUAAGGAGACAAAACCCAAGGCAAGGGCUGAUGGAAUUGGGCAAAAAGACCUUCUUCAACAGUCAUCACACCUGCAAAGUACAGUCGGCACAUUCAGUAAUUAUCUGCUUUUAUUUUGCUCUCGUGACGUUUGACUUGCAUCAGGGCAAGAUGGGAUGUUCACUGCGUGGGUGGAAACUCUUGGCUUCCAGAGGCCACACAGGAAAAGAUAAGCAAACCCUGGCUGUUUAUUUCUCUUCUGUUUCGUGCUCAUGAAUUGCCUUGACUUUCCACAGUGACGGUUGCCGUGGAGUACAAGUUACCACUGAAAAUUGAAAACUGUUAGAUCACAGCACCUUCCUUUGUCUGAAAACACCUGGGACUGGGGUUCUGCCAGCGGAGUGCGGGCCAGGAGAGCAGAAACCUCCGCCAGAAUGAACUGUCAUUGCUGGGUCUAUGGGCACCCAUCUGUAUCUUCUGGGGGCCCCAGAAAUCAGCUUAGAGCUGUGCUACAGUGCAGAACAGAAUCCAGCUGCCAAAUCCUUCUUUUAUCAUUCUUUGACUAAAACAAGUACAGGAUCAAGGAAUUCUCUUUUUCAGUGAUUUGCUGCAUUAGCGUCUUUUCAUUUGGGGGCUACUUAAAUGCUUUUUAAUGAUAAGUUCGUUAGCUCUAAUCUCGUUCCUGUGGAACAAAUUAUGGAAGAGGAGCAGUGGCUUCUCUCCCAGAGUCACAGGCCAGUCAGCCUCCAGCCUGACCAUCUGUACACCAGCAAGCAGCCCAGUGGGCAGAUGCUCAGUGUGUCCUUGAACUUCAACCCAGGGGUCAUCUUCAUAAACGGGAGACAAGCUGGACCUACCUUUUAGGAGACAGAAAGCAUCACAGAAAAGGAAAGGCAAAUUUAGAUAACCCAAGAAGCGAGAAGUAAAAUUUGUUAAUGUAGGCCUGAAAAACAUUAUACUCUUAUAUGUUCGAGCACUUUUAUUAAAUAAUGUUCUCACUGGUGUUUCAUAAAAACAUGAAACUCCAUCUACAGUAUUUCUCUAGUUUCAAGAAAUUUUGUAGCUCAGUUAUUUCUAAGGCAGUGUUUUAUACCGCAAGCCUGUCCCUCUUCCCCUUGUUUUUGCCAAGACUAUAUCUACAAGAUUUUCUUCUUAUCUUUUAUGCUAAAAGAAGUGACUAAUUUCCCAAGAUAUGAACUCUCAAAUAAACAAACACAAACGAUGCAACACUGCACGAUAGAAGACAUUUUUCAGAGACAAAGUAUUAAUCUUAUCUGGGAUAUCCUCACAUAUUUGGGGGCCAUAAAUCCUGCUUUAUUCAUCCAUUAGGUUUUCUUUAUGAGUCUCUUUUUUGACUAGACACACGGUAGUUGAAAUAAAUAAACCAGGUCUCCACAACCUCAGUUUCGAGGAUUGUCCAUCUGUUUAGAAAAAGUGCGGUAAGGUUGAUCUAGUUCUUUCUAUUCUUAGAUUUCUUUCUUUUAUAGUUGCCAAUUGUCACCAUCCCCCAGCACAACCAAGAAGCAAAUAAAGCAGACAUAAGCACCUGUUCCCAGGGCGUUUACCUGGGAGGGGUUUGUUUUCAGAAGGGCAGAGGGGACCACAGAGCAGCAUCCCCAGGCCAAUUAGAGAGGAGUCUGGAGACACACAGACUUAUGUGUUCUCCCAACAUGGAACGAUGGGGAGGAGGGUCGGACGUCUCCCCGGGCGAAGAGGGACUUAUUUUUAAGAAAAACUGAAGCUUGGGGUUUUUUUUUUUCCCUGUCCUUUGAGCUUCUCAAAACCGACCUUCCCAUCCUGUUUGUAAAUAGGAGCUUCACCCCGCCCUGCACUACAGGCUCAAGCCAAGUCACAGAAUAGGAUUUAAGCUAGAAGACCCUUCAGAGCUCUAGACAGCAACGAGCAGAUUAUUUGAAAUCCUACACCAAGAUGAACUCGCAGCCCUCAUUCUGGGGACUCGUGUUACGUGACAGGCACCACGCUCAGGGCUCGUGUGUGCUGUACCCUCCCCACAGCCUGCCGUGAUCUGUGUGGAGGUGGUGUUCAGGCACUCAGUCGUGUCCGACUCUCCGCAACCCCAGGGACUACAGCAGGCCAGGCUUCCCUGUCCUUCCCCAUCUCCAGGAGUUUGCUCAGACUCCUGUGAUUGGUGUGACCUGCGUGAUUCACGGGAGACAAGAGGCAGGAAUUCAGCAGGCCCCCGGGCCCAGCAGCACAAGUGACCCCCAGCCACUCCUGCCGGGACCAAGCCCAAGAGGAGGGCGGCUCAGAUUCGCAAAGACAAGGCUGAGACAGAGGUUGAAACAAGGACGUGUUUACCGGCAGCUGUGAAACACGCGCACUCCACCCUCUCCCAGGGCAGUGUGCCCACCAAGGACGUUUACCAGAGAUGUGGUCCCAGACUCGGAACUGCCGACUGUCUCGGUAGAAAAUGGAGAGAGAGAGACAAGCACAGCAUCCAUGCGGUAGUGAUGCAAAGGCAUCCAGAGUUUACCUGGGACGUGGGAGGAAGAGACAGAAACUUUGCGGAGCUGGAUCCUGAAAUGCAGCAGUUUCCCGGGCGCUGCUGAAUGAUACUGGGGAGGCGCUGAUGGGCUCGGAGCUCCAGCCUGGAGCAAGGCCAUGCUGACCAGUGCCCCGGGCCAGUGUGGGGGCACAGGGCGAGGAGGGAAGGCUGUGUCUUGUGUUCAGGGCAGUCAGGUGGAGGCGAGUACCUCAUUCUCCUGUGUGAAGAGGGCCUUCUACAGAGUGUGAUGUUCGUGUGAGUGCAGGGACCACAGGGCUCAGGCCGUCAGGAAAGGUUUCAGAUCUCCAGUAUCCUGGGUUCAGGCUCUGGGGCGAGGGCUGGGCGCUCUCACAGGUAAGCAGUGCUCCCUCUCCUGGGCAUAGUCUAGAGCCCCCUUCCAUCCAUGGUAAUGGUUUCAUGCCCCACGCAGUACCCAGGACACCUGGGUGCAGUGCCUGGGCUCCGAGGCCACCCUUGGCUCUGCUGCGCCCUCCUGUGUCUGCAGAGCCAGAAGCGGGGCUUCACCUCUGCCCUUCCCCUGCAGCGGUCUCCUGGCACACGGAGGGCAGAGACCUCACCCUUCUCUGCCCACUCCAGGAAAGUGAUGCUGAACGCAGUGAAUCCGCAUCGUGCACCUACCUGGGAGAAAUUGCCUGUCGUAGCCAACAGGGAGGUUGCACGUUACAAAGAGCGUGUGUCACAAGACCAGGUGUCUCUUCUCUGUGAUGGCCUUUGGGGACAGCCAGCUGUCAGCAGGGUUUGGGGAGUGGCCUCCCGAGUAGUCACAGGUGCCUGACUCUGAGCAGCAUGUGAGGCUGUGGCUCCCCGUUCUAACGCUGUGACUCUGGGACAUCCAUCAUCACCUGUCCUGUGGUUCCCCAAAGCAGACACAGGGAUCAGGGUGCCUCCCAGGCCAACCCCCGAGUCCCUACGUCCUCACAGAAAAGCGAGGAGCUCUGCAGGGGCCAGACAAUUCCUCUCUGUCUCCCCAAAAUCCCCUGCCUCAAGGGAGGUCUGCCCCAGGUCCCCUGUACCUGUGACAGCCGUGCCCAGAUGCUCCUUAUCCCCGGGGCAUGUGGGGGCUCCUUACCCCGGAAGUGACAGCAGACCUCCUGUAGUUGCACCGUCCAGCCUCUCUCUCUGAGUGCAG